AGCGAACGCUGGCGGCAGGCUUAACACAUGCAAGUCGAGCGGGCGUAGCAAUACGUCAGCGGCAGACGGGUGAGUAACGCGUGGGAACGUGCCCUUUGGUUCGGAACAACACAGGGAAACUUGUGCUAAUACCGGAUAAGCCCUUACGGGGAAAGAUUUAUCGCCGAAGGAUCGGCCCGCGUCUGAUUAGCUUGUUGGUGAGGUAACGGCUCACCAAGGCUACGAUCAGUAGCUGGUCUGAGAGGAUGAUCAGCCACACUGGGACUGAGACACGGCCCAGACUCCUACGGGAGGCAGCAGUGGGGAAUAUCGGACAAUGGGGGCAACCCUGAUCCAGCCAUGCCGCGUGAGUGAUGAAGGCCCUAGGGUUGUAAAGCUCUUUCGGCGGGGAAGAUAAUGACGGUACCCGCAUAAGAAGCCCCGGCUAACUUCGUGCCAGCAGCCGCGGUAAAAC
rnacentral:rRNA from 1 species